rnacentral:rRNA from 1 species
CGAACGGUCGCGUAACACGUAGGCAACCUGCCCGAAAGACCGGGACAACAUCUCGAAAGGGGUGCUAAUACCGGAUGUGGUCGUGUGGUGGCAUCACCAUACGCUUAAACCAUUUAUGGCUUUCGGAGGGGCCUGCGUCCGAUUAGCUGGUUGGUGGGGUAACGGCCUACCAAGGCGACGAUCGGUAGCUGGUCUGAGAGGAUGGUCAGCCACACUGGGACUGAGACACGGCCCCG